GAUGAAGAACGCAGCGAAAUGCGAUAAGUAAUGUGAAUUGCAGGAUUCAGUGAAUCAUCGAAUCUUUGAACGCACCUUGCGCCCUUUGGCUAUUCCAGAGGGCAUGCCUGUUUGAGUAUCAUGAACACCUCAACUCUCAUGGUUCUGCCAUGAUGAGCUUGGACUUUGGAGGUCUUGCUGGCCCCUGUGGUCAGCUCCUCUCAAAUGGAUCAGCUUGCCAGUGUUUGGUGGCAUCACAGGUGUGAUAACUAUCUACGCUUGUGGUUUUCCACCAGGUAACCUUCAGUGAUGGAGGUUCGCUGGAGCUCAUAAACGUCUCUCCUCAGCGAGGACAGCUUCUUGAAUGUUUGAUCUCAAAUCAGGUAGGGCUACCCGCUGAACUUAAGCAUAUCAAUAAGCGGAGGA
rnacentral:misc_RNA from 1 species